UCGGUAGCUCAGUCGGUUAGAGCGCCGGCCUGUCACGCCGGAGGUCGAGGGUUCAAGUCCCUUCCG
rnacentral:tRNA from 1 species